AGAAAACCAACUGAAAAAAAAAGCAGAAAUUAGAUUGAAAAAGCUGUCCAGAAAUUGCCCAAAGACCACAUCUAUAAUUGCAAUUUUCAGCCAAAACCAGUGGCCAAUUGGACAAAUAGAGACCCUGAUAGACAUUGCAGGUCAAGGCGCACCUACCUAUCUAGCUAGUGGAGGUUACAGUCGACAGAGGGGCUUGCAAGCGUGUGGAGAAGAUUCCGAUGACGGAGUCUAAAGACAGGGUUUUCCUG
rnacentral:lncRNA from 1 species